GAAUAAAGCUUGGUUAGGUUGUAGCUGGCUCUCCGGGGCAUGUGCACGCCUGACGCCAAUCUUUUCACCACCUGUGCACCUUUUGUAGGCUUGGAUGAAUAUAUCUCGAGGAAGCUCGGUUUGAGGACUGCCGUGCUGCGAAGGCCAGGCUUUCCUUGUAUUUUUUCUAGCCUAUGUGUUUUAUUAUAUACUCAGCAUGUCUUGGAAUGUUAUUUGGUGGGCUUAAUUGCCAGUAAACCUUAUACAACUUUCAACAACGGAUCUCUUGGCUCU
rnacentral:misc_RNA from 1 species